CACUAGGGAAUGCUGGAUGAUGGCCAGACUUCAGCUAGAAGACCUGAACAAAGACACCAUGUUGAACCACGAGACAUCUGAAUUAAAGAUGGGCAUAAAACACACCAUCGCUCAUCGUCCCCAAACAGCUCCGCCACCUGCAGAGAUUCUCUAAGUCACUCGCUCUGUCUAACAAGAACAUGGACAAAAACACCAAAAAGUUGGGAUCUCGUAAUUUAGGCUGAGGAUGCUCACUGUGUUUUUAAAUCUGUGUGGGAAAGUGAUAAAUGUUUUUGGUGUUUUGCAUAAUGGAACUUGAAUUUCACACUCACUGUAGACAUGCAGGUUGGUGGAGGCCAGAGGUAGAAUAAGAAAUCAGGUGUUUUGUGUUGUUUAAAUAUGCAAAUUAGUUUGAAUAUGCAAACUGGGCAUUAUCUAAUGAUAACUGGCGGUGAAUUUAGGAGAUAUCUACACAAACAAACAGACAACGUUUAGUGACAUAAAUCCCUAAAUGUG